rnacentral:rRNA from 1 species
GACGAACGCUGGCGGCGUGCUUAACACAUGCAAGUCGAACGAUGAAGCCGGAGCUUGCUCUGGUGAAUUAGUGGCGAACGGGUGAGUAACACGUGAGUAACCUGCCCUUGACUCUGGGGUAACUGAGGGAAACUGUAGCUAAUACCGGAUACGACCCUCGGAGGCAUCUCCUGGGGGUGGAAAGAAUUUCGGUCAAGGAUGGACUCGGGGCCUAUCAGCUAGUUGGUGAGGUAAAGGCUCACCAAGGCGACGACGGGUAGCCGGCCUGAGAGGGUGACCGGCCACACUGGGACUGAGACACGGCCCAGACUCCUACGGGAGGCAGCAGUGGGAAUAUUGCACAAUGGGCGCAAGCCUGAUGCAGCAACGCCGCGUGAGGGAUGACGGCCUUCGGGUUGUAAACCUCUUUUAGCAGGGAAGAAGCGAAAGUGACGGUACCUGCAGAAAAAGCACCGGCUAACUACGUGCCAGCCGCCGCGGUAA